CUCCUUGCUAUCAGUUUGUUUGUUUCUUUAACAACACCAAUCAGAAGAGCACUUUAUGAUUUCAAACAAUUGAGUCAUUGAAACAUGGGAAACAAAGAAUGAAGGAUCAAACUAAAGAAGGAACAUUUACAUUCUAAACACUCGUCACUCACCAUCCACCCAAAGGAACGAAAUGGCUACAGCAAUCAAGAAAUGGUUACAAUUUACUGCUACACCUCGUUUCUUUGUAUAACAUCAAAAUUGGAGAAGUGAAACAUUCUCAUUCUGUUGUCUGCAAUAGGAAAUGGAAAUCUGAUCACUGAUCUAGCAUGGGAGGAGGAUCCACGUCAGACACGUUGAUAGCUUGGAAGGAUUGUGAUGAGGGCAUCCGAUAUUAAUUUAUUUUAUUUUCUAGUAAGCUUUAUUUAUUAUCUUGGACUCUUAUUUAGAGAAUUGGACUUGUAUUGGCUCGGGUCCGGUCUCGUUAGAGUUCGCUUUACUAUUUAAACCUACUUGAUCUAGAUUGCCUCCCGUCCACUCCAAGGGGGUUGGUGAGUACACCAGAUUCAGACCUCCACUAACACAUAUCUACAGAUGUCGGAAGAAGCUUGCCCAGUCACUUAACUUAUGAUUGGGAGAUUGACUACAGCCUAUAGGGAUAUAUCCACUCGACAGGGUCGAGUUUUCUCCCACCCUGAGAGAGUUGAUGAGGACAUCUGAUAUUUAUUUAUUUUAUAUUCUAGUUAAGCUUUAUUUAUUAUCUUGGACCCUUAUUUAGAGAAUUAGACUUAUAUUGGCUCGGGCCCAACUUUACUAUUUAAACUUACUUUGCAAUGUAAUUUUAGCUGAUGAUUGAAUAAAGAUUUUUGGUGGCUUGUGG
rnacentral:lncRNA from 1 species